CUAACUUUGGCUUGUUUGACAUUAACCUACCUGGUCUCUGAAGGCAGCCGAUGUUCUUCCUCCACCGUUAUUUUUUGAGAUGCCACGGGGUCAGGGCGAGUUGAAUCCCAUGUCAGAAUUGUCCCCAUGUUGACCUGCGCCUGACUGGCCUCCCAGCAAAAAGCCCCUGUGAAGCAGAAGGCAAAGAGGGCUACGCUGAUCCGAAGGUGAAAAACAUUCUCCUCCUCCUCCUCCUCCUCCUCCUCCUCUCCCCCAGCUGAACAUCUGUCUCCGUAGUGUUGGCUGCGGCACCGACUCUGACACCUCCAGAUGGAGAGCCCGCUGGAAGCGCUGAGGUAUUACCUACAGAGAUGGCAGGGAUCACACCUCUGGAAUGAAGUCCCACACUUGUUUUCUGCACCGUCCCCUUUUUUGUUGUUGAAUCUGUCACUAUUCACCACAUCGAUUAUCACCUCCCUAGUCCUUGGCCUUGUGACUCGUGCGAAGAGGAAGCUUUUUGCUUAUAAAGAAGUGCAUGACAACAAACCUCUCAGCCCUUUUCUAAUUUACAGUAAUGGGCCGUAUGGUAUUUCAACUGUAACUUCUAUUAGUGGAACUGCAUUAAUUUUUAAUAUAGUUGUGAGAGAAGUGCAUACUCAUGCAGAUAUAUUUCAAAUGGUUGAAUUCCAUUUCCUAGUAACAUGUUUUUCAGAGGCCCUAAAUGUUUUUAGUUUGCACAGACCAGAACAUUGUCUAAAUGGCCUGUAAUCUCUUUAGUCUAAAUAUUAAACGCAAUACCUGCAAAAAUCUAAAGUGAGAGAGGCCUAGAGUUGACUUCUCAAAGCUACUCUGGUGUCUUGACAGAUUGACUCGGCAUUCAUUUGUGCCUGAACUCUGAGUGAACCUCAGCUUUAGGAAAAAAGGGCACCAACAGGCCAGAGCUGCUGGGGCAGAAUGUGUGCACAAACCUAACACCCAGUGCAAAUAUUGAAACUGCUGCCCCUUUAGCAUCAGAUGAAACUAGGUGGUCAGGUCCAGCAAACGUUUAUCUUAAGGAGAAGCCAAAAUGAGCACUGAAAUGUUAAAUUGCUAACUCAGUCCCUCUGUUUUUUAAAAAGAAAUGUGUGUGUUUAAUUAAAAGUAUU